AAAAUGAGCACCAAUAAAAAGUCAUUGGAUUUCAUUGUUAAGAGAUUCUUGGUGACUUUGGGGACAACAGCGUCAGAAUGAAUUACAGGUACCUACUCUAGGAGGAACUUCCAGAGUUGCCAGACUCUCUUCUCCUCCUUCCAUUUUGGAGAUCAGCUUAGGUAAUUUGCAUAACCUGGACCAAAUGUCCUGUAGGAAAAUGGGAAAUGGG
rnacentral:lncRNA from 1 species